UGUGGUCCUAAAUAUUAGGGUGUUGGUUUCUUUCUUCAGAUCAGUCUAAUGUUAUAUAAUAAAGCAGUCCUAACAUAUUCAAACUAUGUCCAUGUCCCCUAAUGUAAACCCUUGUGAUUGACAUAUGAACAGUAGAGAAAGAACUAAAGCUUUUGCAAAAAAUUGUGGUUUCAAGCACUGUUAAGCUUGCUGUCCUGUGACAGUGGAACAGGACCAAGAAUAAAGUGAAAACAUCUAAGAAUUUUUCAUUUAGGAAGCUUGAACCAACUUAUAAAUUCAAUAAAGCUUAUUUGUUAAUUUUAGUUCUGGAAUUGUGUUAAAGUUUGUAGAAACCACUAAAAAUUUUGAGUGAACUUUGUUUAAUUUCCAUGUUUCAGUUAUAUAAAUCAGCAGUAUCCAAAAUCAGACCAUAUCAAAGGAUAAGAUCCCAUGAGUUUAUGUCCAUCCCUAGUGUUGUUGCCUUUCUUUGCAUCCUCAAUAGUCCUAAAAUAAAGGACAAAACAUAAAUUUUCAAAACAUAAGUCAUGGGAACUUGAAUUAUACGGUCGGAAUUGCUUUGAUGCUCAUGGGGUUUCCCAUGGAUGCGAAGGCUGAAGUUGUGGAGAUUGGGAUGGGUGGGAAGGAGGGAGAGAUUUUGGAGAUGGCACGAAUGUGCUAGACCCAGCCCUUUAGCCCGGCCCAUGAACGAAAUAGGCCCAAAGACAAAAAAAACCAAGAAGAAGAAGAAGGGAACGAAGUUCCCCUGUUUGAGUCGGAAGAGGAGACUGACGUCGGCUCCUCUUCGACUCCAUCGGAGGCUAGGAAACCCUAGCCUCCAUGUCUAUUUAAGGGACCUCACUCCCCUUCUUCGAGCUUCACCGUUAAUCACCAAGCUCCCCACCGAUUUGAGGGGAUUUUUGAGUUUACUGCCGCGGGGGAUUGCUUGAGGUUUUCACUAUCAAUCCGGCCGGAAGAGCUCACCGGAGACGAAUAGGUCGGACAAAGGUUGAUCCAGGCUUGGAGUUCGCGUUAGCAAGCUUGGCGAUUUUGUAGAAAAAAUUUAGUAUUUUAAAUUGACUAUAAAUUUGUAGUCAGCGAUUUUUUAAGUAUUUAAGAUUAUGAGUUUGGUAUUUAUGUUUGGAUUUAGAAGCUCUGAACCAGUGUUGGUUGCAUUUAAUGGAUAAUAAAAUUGAAUUUCUAUUUAUUCUA